CCAGGGCAAGGAGGGUCGGAAGGGUGCAGCUCAGAGUUCGUCGCCGCGGAACUCAGUCUGGACUCAGGAAAGGUGUGGAUCGGGAAGCCCAGGAGUAGCCCCACACAGCAAAGACCGAGGAGAGGGAGUCAGCCGCAAGGACCGAAAAACCCUUCAGGAACAACCACCCAGAGGCCACAAAGCCCCUCAUUGUUAUUGUUAUCAUGAUUGUUAACUGUAAUUAUCCACCAUUGUCAAGGAAGUAUGUGUCUUCGUUUUACUUUUUAUAUAUGGUAAUCUUCACCACUAUAACCCUUUUAGUGUUCCCCUUUUAUUCUGAUGUAUAAAAUAAGUGGUAAAACUGCCAUUUUCCAGAGCAUUUCUCAACCCGUUAAUUUUGCUUCCUGGCAAUUGUCAGUUUGGCUCAAAUAAAAUGCUAAAAAUUC